UACGGAGGAUCCAAGCGUUAUCCGGAUUUAUUGGGUUUAAAGGGUGCGUAGGCGGCCUGUUAAGUCAGGGGUGAAAGACGGUAGCUCAACUAUCGCAGUGCCCUUGAUACUGAUGGGCUUGAAUAGACUAGAGGUAGGCGGAAUGUGACAAGUAGCGGUGAAAUGCUUAGAUAUGACACAGAACACCAAUUGCGAAGGCAGCUCACAAAAACUGUAACUGACACUGAGGCACGAAAGCGUGGGGAUCAAACAGG
rnacentral:rRNA from 1 species